GUACUCCUUACCGACCGAUAGCGCACCAGUACGUGAGGAAGUGAAAGCACCCGACGAGGGAGUGAAAUAGAACCUGAAACCGGAUGCCUACAAACAGUCGGAGCCCGCAAGGGUGACGACGUACCUUUUGUAUAAUGGGUCUGCGACUUAGUCUGGCGAGCAAGCUUAAGGCGAUAGCUGUAGGCGAAGCGAAAGCGAGUCUGAACAGGGCGUUCAGUUCGUCGGACUAGACCCGAAACCAGUCGAUCUAUCCAUGGCCAGGUUGAAAGCAGGGUAACACCUGCUGGAGGACCGAACCGGUGCCUGUUGAAAAAGUCUCGGAUGAGCUGUGGAUAGGGGUGAAAGGCCAAUCAAGGCUGGAAAUAGCUGGUUCUCCGCGAAAUCUAUUUAGGUAGAGCCUCGAGUGAAUACCCCAGGGGGGUAGAGCACUGGAUGGGCUAGGGGCCCC
rnacentral:rRNA from 1 species